CGGAGAGCAGGGUACGGGUAGAACUCUGCCCGGGAGGGUGAGAUCUGGUGUACUUCCCCGACAUCAGAUCCCCCGCCCGGACAGGGCUCUAUGCGCGCCCCGCAUCGCCCGAG
rfam:Corynebacterium uterequi strain DSM 45634, complete genome.